rnacentral:misc_RNA from 1 species
GAAAUGCGAUAAGUAAUGUGAAUUGCAGAGUUUUGUGAAUCAUCGAAUCUUUGAACGCACAUUGCGCCCCUCGGUAUUCCGACGGGCAUGCCUGUCCGAGCGUCAUUACGCACCCUCAAGCCCGGCUUGUGUGAUGGGCCCUGGCGUCUCGUUCGCGAGACGGGCCCGAAAGGCAGCGGCGGCGUCGACCCGAUGAGCCCGAGCGUAUGGGGACUUUUGUCACACGUUUGCGGUGCGGACCGGCGCCUGCUUGACUUUUCUGAUUAUCCAGGUUGACCUCGGAUCAGGUAGGGAUACCCGCUGAACUUAAGC